AGUGAACGCUGGCGGUAGGCCUAACACAUGCAAGUCGAACGGCAGCACAGUAAGAGCUUGCUCUUACGGGUGGCGAGUGGCGGACGGGUGAGGAAUACAUCGGAAUCUACUUUUUCGUGGGGGAUAACGUAGGGAAACUUACGCUAAUACCGCAUACGACCUACGGGUGAAAGCAGGGGAUCUUCGGACCUUGCGCGAUUGAAUGAGCCGAUGUCGGAUUAGCUAGUUGGCGGGGUAAAGGCCCACCAAGGCGACGAUCCGUAGCUGGUCUGAGAGGAUGAUCAGCGACACUGGAACUGAGACACGGUCCAGACUACUACGGGAGGCAGCAGUGGGGAAUAUUGGACAAUGGGCGCAAGCCUGAUCCAACCAUACCGAGUGUGUGAAGAAGGCCUUCGGGUUGUAAAGCCCUUUUGUUGGGAAAGAAAAGCAGCAGGUUAAUACCCCGCUGUUCUGACGGUACCCAAAGAAUAAGCACCGGCUAACUUCGUG
rnacentral:rRNA from 1 species